rnacentral:rRNA from 1 species
GAUAAACGCUGGCGGCGUGCUUAGCACAUGCAAGUCGAACGAAGUUUUUCCUUCGGGAGAAACUUAGUGGCGGACGGGUGAGUAACGCGUGGGUAACCUGCCCUGUACAGGGGGACAACAGCUGGAAACGGCUGCUAAUACCGCAUAAGCACUUAGCACUGCAUGGUGCAUAGGGAAAAGGAGCAAUCCGGCACAGGAUGGACCCGCGUCUGAUUAGCCAGUUGGCAGGGUAACGGCCUACCAAAGCGACGAUCAGUAGCCGAUCUGAGAGGAUGUACGGCCACAUUGGGACUGAGACACGGCCCAGACUCCUACGGGAGGCAGCAGUGGGGAAUAUUGCACAAUGGAGGAAACUCUGAUGCAGCGACGCCGCGUGAGUGAAGAAGUAUUUCGGUAUGUAAAGCUCUAUCAGCAGGGAAGAAAAUGACGGCACCUGACUAAGAAGCACCGGCUAAAUACGUG